rnacentral:rRNA from 1 species
GGACACAUUGAUUAUUGACACUUCGAAAGCACAUGGGGCCCCGGGUCCCUCCCGGGGCUACGCCUGUUUGAGGGUUGC